rnacentral:rRNA from 2 species
UGUCGAUGAAGAGCGCAGCCAACUGUGUGAAUUAAUGUGAACUGCAUGCUGCUUUGAACAUCGACAUCUUGAACGCAUAUUGCGGUCACAGGCUAGCCUGUGGCCACGCCUGUCCGAGGGUCG